CGCCAAGCGGGCUGGGCGGGGCGAGACCGAGGCCGGGGCACCUGUUUGCAAUUUAUAACUAGAUCCCCGGGACAUGAAGUACCAUGUGGAGGCCCAGUUGGUCAGUAUGGGUCAGAGACAGGCCUUGAAUCUCCCCAGUGGAGUCAGGAGAUAACAAUCUCCAGGAAAAUAUAUUCCAAGUUACAAACAACUGAAUUUCAAAUGAAGUUUUGGAGCAUCACCUAUAAAUUGGGACUGCCCCGUCCAUAUGAAAGGUUGAUGUGCUGACUUAACCUCACACUGAGGACUGAGGAGGAGACGUGAACGCUCAGAAGAGAGAAAUGACCAAAGCGGACAGAAGAUGGACUGGGGCCCUGUGAGCUCCAGCUGAGGAAGAUUAAAGGCAGAUUCUUCAAGACUUAGUAAGAAUUACCUGUUCUGGGUGUUCAAUCUGUAGCCGUGAUCUUGAGGUUCGUUUGGCACCGCUUUGUGGAGAAGAAGGUAGCUUUCAUUUAGUGCACCCGGCCCCUGUGCUCUCUUGGAGACUCCUGAUGACCCCAUUUGGGGUUUCUUGGCAGAGAUACUGGAGAGGUCAGCCGUUUCCUUCUCCAGCUCAUUUUACAGAGGAGGAUACUGAGGCAGGUGGGGCCCUGAUUGUGCUUCUGCCUUACCCGGCAAGCCCUCCUGUAACAAGCACGGAACUACCACAGGACGGA